UCUUUCUUUCUACUUACAUUUCUCUUUCUACUCCAUUCUUUUCUUCUUUUUCUAAAAAUAUCUUCUGACAUAGUGAGAUAAGUAGGGAUGAUCGAGUACCUUGGUCGAUCCAACCUCAACUCGAGUUUGAAGUAGAAACUCCAUCUCAGACGAUAGUUGAGGUCGGUACUUCAGGUUGGGAAGAUCUAGAGUCUCCUAUAAGGAGAUUCUUAGAUUACUUUGGUCCUAGUACUGAACAAUCCAUCCUGACCGAUCUCUGUCUUUAUAAACUUAGAGAUAAAUAUUUGAUUCUUGAAAAAUUUCAAUUGAUAGCUCUAGGUCAGAAUAAUAGGAUCACUGAAUCUCUCAAAAAUUGUAUCGCAUUUUAUGAUGAGACACUUAAGUUCGGACUUCAUUUUUUCUUAUAUCCUUUUUUUCAGUAAUAUUUUAGAUUUUUAUAGACUUCAUCC
rnacentral:lncRNA from 1 species